AAAUCACAGGGAGACACGCUGAAUCCCCUGAGACUCCCCUUCUGUGUGUACAAAAACCCUGUUGCUGGAAAUGGCCUUUCGGAAGCCGACAAGGGGCUGAGUGGAUGGCGCCCAGCCAGGCUGAACGGAGGACUCAUGCGGCCAGGGACGGAGAAAUUUUCCUUUUGCUGCCCAUGGGCCUCAGGUACAAAGAGUUGAGUUAAUUAUGUUUCUUGGCUCGAUGGAUACCUCCCUCCCCAGCAAAACCUAACCAUCUCACCAAUGCCUCCUGAGUGGGGUUAUUUACGGUUGUGACAAAACACACAUGUGCAUUUUAAAGUUAACUCAUAUUUAUAAAACUGUGCCAGAAUACAGCUCUUAUUCCAUUGUGAGAGUUCCGUCUUAAUCUUGUCAGCCUAAAUCAAGGCAAGCUCAAAUGACGAGACAUUUAUUCUGGGAUGGUAGAGGAAUUGCAAUUAAGGAAAUACUCUUCACAGUAAGCUGCAGGUGAGUCUGUUGAGGGCGUGGGGUGGGCUGUACAGACAGGCAAGGAACACAAAGGGGGAGGCCCAGCCAGAGUGCAAGCAGUAAGGUGACUAGCUUGAGGAUGCGGAGGGCGUCUUGGUGGAUGUUCACUGGUCAGGAGUUACAAUUCAGACUUGGCUCAUACCUUCCUCAUGCAUUGUGUUACGAAGAGAAGAGUCAUCUGGGAUUCACAAGGUUCACCCAAAAGACUUUCAGGCUCAUCCUCCCUCCCUGUUCUCACACCUCGUGGCGAUGGAAUGGAUGUAUUUUGAAAAGCACCCACAGAACCACAGGUGGAAGGACACAAAAGACAAGAAGUUCCGCAGAGGAUCUCCCCUCUCAAGGCUGA
rnacentral:lncRNA from 1 species